rnacentral:lncRNA from 1 species
CUCAGUUUAUCAGUUCUAGUGCUAACGUGGCCUGUUUUAGCGGUGUCUCCCAUUCUGUGUUCUCUGGAAAGACAAGUUAAAGGGGAGAGUUUGUAUUAACAGGUGUCACGUCUUCUCACUCUCGCCAUAUCCCUGUACCUUCUGGUAGAUGUAAACGGACACAACUGUGCUUAUAAAACCAAUAACUCGCCAGUCUUCCUCAGGUCCAUUCAAGACCAUUUGAGUGGGUCCUUGGGUGCCAUGGACAGAAAUCUUGUGGGGACAUGGAUGAGGGGGGCCUCCAGCCCCUGAGGACUGUCAAGACCAGGGCCUUGGGGAAGGGCAGCCGAGCUUCACAUUGUCCCCACUUAGCCACUUGUCAGGGUUGCUGUGAGGCUCCAGAUGAAAAUACAUGGAGUUUCCUUAACUACCGUGGCCCACAGAAAUGACACAUGAGAUUCUUUUCCUUGGUCGUAGGAUACUGGGGGCGGGGUCAGUGAGAGGCACUGUCCAUCUCAGAAAAAUCUGUAUCACUCUUGUUUGCUCAUCUUGAGGAAGCCAUGGAGAGCACAGUUUCUAUGGAGUCAGCAGAAACAAAAAUGAGAUUAAUUCACACGUAAAUUCUGCCUUUAGAUACAGAGACCUAGGUUAUAGGAUCUUGACUGUAUACACAGUUAAGCCAUUUGUAGAGUUUUCCCUAUUUGGGGGUAGUUUUUGUUCUGAUUUUUUUUUUCAGAGGGGAUGUUUG